rnacentral:rRNA from 1 species
GACGAACGCUGGCGGCGUGCUUAACACAUGCAAGUCGAACGGAAAGGCCCUGCUUUUGUGGGGUGCUCGAGUGGCGAACGGGUGAGUAACACGUGAGUAACCAGCCCUUGACUUUGGGAUAACUUCAGGAAACUGGGGCUAAUACCGGAUAGGAGCUCCUGCUGCAUGGUGGGGGUUGGAAAGUUUCGGCGGUUGGGGAUGGACUCGCGGCUUAUCAGCUUGUUGGUGGGGUAGUGGCUUACCAAGGCUUUGACGGGUAGCCGGCCUGAGAGGGUGACCGGCCACAUUGGGACUGAGAUACGGCCCAGACUCCUACGGGAGGCAGCAGUGGGGAAUAUUGCACAAUGGGCGGAAGCCUGAUGCAGCAACGCCGCGUGCGGGAUGACGGCCUUCGGGUUGUAAACCGCUUUCGCCUGUGACGAAGCGUGAGUGACGGUAAUGGGUAAAGAAGCACCGGCUAACUACGUGCCAGCAGCCGCGGUGAUACGUAGGGUGCGAGCGUUGUCCGGAUUUAUUGGGCGUAAAGGGCUCGUAGGUGGUUGAUCGCGUCGGAAGUGUAAUCUUGGGGCUUAACCCUGAGCGUGCUUUCGAUACGGGUUGACUUGAGGAAGGUAGGGGAGAAUGGAAUUCCUGGUGGAGCGGUGGAAUGCGCAGAUAUCAGGAGGAACACCAGUGGCGAAGGCGGUUCUCUGGGCCUUUCCUGACGCUGAGGAGCGAAAGCGUGGGGAGCGAACAGGCUUAGAUACCCUGGUAGUCCACGCUGUAAACGGUGGGUACUAGGCGUGGGGUCCAUUCCACGGGUUCCGUGCCGUAGCUAACGCUUUAAGUACCCCGCCUGGGGAGUACGGCCGCAAGGCUAAAACUCAAAGGAAUUGACGGGGCCCCGCACAAGCGGCGGAGCAUGCGGAUUAAUUCGAUGCAACGCGUAGAACCUUACCUGGGUUUGACAUGGAUCGGGAGUGCUCAGAGAUGGGUGUGCCUCUUUUGGGGUCGGUUCACAGGUGGUGCAUGGCUGUCGUCAGCUCGUGUCGUGAGAUGUUGGGUUAAGUCCCGCAACGAGCGCAACCCUUGUUCACUGUUGCCAGCACGUUAUGGUGGGGACUCAGUGGAGACCGCCGGGGUCAACUCGGAGGAAGGUGGGGAUGACGUCAAGUCAUCAUGCCCCUUAUGUCCAGGGCUUCACGCAUGCUACAAUGGCUGGUACAGAGAGUGGCGAGCCUGUGAGGGUGAGCGAAUCUCGGAAAGCCGGUCUCAGUUCGGAUUGGGGUCUGCAACUCGACCUCAUGAAGUCGGAGUCGCUAGUAAUCGCAGAUCAGCAACGCUGCGGUGAAUACGUUCCCGGGGCU